UUGCAUACAUGAACAGCACAUAUACUAAAAUUGGAACGAUACAGAGAAGAUUAGCAUGUCCCCAGUACUGACUCUCUGUCCUGUGCCGCCACUGGGUUGUGU